rnacentral:ncRNA from 2 species
AAAUACGAGUAAUAGCUAGGUGCCUUUGUAACCAAUUGGUAACUAAAUUGCAAUCAAAGGCUUAAAAGAGAAGUUCGGUGAAAGUCCGACGCGGUCCCGCCACUGUAAGGGGGAGGCUAUUUUCACUCUGCCACUGGAACUGUAAUGGAGCUUCGACAUUUCCAUGAGUUCUGGGAAGGCGAAAAUAGCUGAAGAACCUAAGCCAGGAGAACUGCCUAGCUUCGCUCACCUUU